rnacentral:lncRNA from 10 species
UGUGAGUGAUUCAGGACCUUCCCAGCCUGGGCAGCAUUUGGUAUUGCCACUAUUUUUUUUUUUUAUUAUUUUAGCUCUUCUAAUAAGUGUGUAGUGAUAUCUCCUGAUGGUUUAAUUUGCAUUGUCCUGAUGGCUAAUGACAUCAAGACCUUUUUAUGUACUUAUGGCCAUCUGUGUAUCCUCCUCAGUGAAAAGUCUGUUCAUGUCUUUUGCCUACUUUUUAAUUGGAUUGUUUGGUUUUAACAACUGAGUUUUCCUAAUUCUUUAUAUUUUCUAGAUGCUGGCCUUACCACUCGGUGAUUAUUUUCUACCACUUUAUCUUGUUUUUUCACCCUCUUCACAGAGUCCUUUGCAGAAAGUUUUACAUUUUGUUGAAUUCAAGUUUAUUAAUUUUACCUUUUUUGGAUUUUGAUUUUUGGUGUGAAGUCUAAAGGGAGAAUUAAUAGUUCUACUGUGUUGAGUUUUCCAAUCCAUGAUCACAGGUUGUCUCUCUAUGGGUAAUUAGGUCUUCUUUAACUUCUUUCAUCAAUGUUUUAUAAAUUUCAGUGCACAGAUUCUGAAUCUGAAAUUUCUUUACAGUGUACAUAAGUGUUUUAUUUUCUUUGGGGCAUUUCUAAAUGGCAUUGUGUCUUAACUUCAGUUUCCACGUUUAUUGUGGAGUAGGUAGAACUGUGAGUAAUUUUUAUGUGUCAGUCCACAUUCUGCAACCUACUGAGCUGCCUUAUUAGAUCUAGGAGGAUUUUUUUUGGUAGAUUUCUUGGGAUUGUCUAUGUAGAUCAUCAUGUUAUCUGCAAAUUGGAUAGUUUUAUACUGAGUUUUUACCACCAAUUAUGAUGUAGCUAUAGGAUUUUUAUGGAUGUUCUUUAUCAAGUCAAUAGUCCAUGUCUAUUCAUGAAUGUGUGUUGUAUUUUGUCAAAUGUCUUUUCUGGGACAAUUUAUAUGUUCAUGAGAUUUUUCUUCUUUGACUUCAUGGUAUGAUGGAUAGUUGAUUGACUGACUCUCUAAUGCUGACCCACCCUUGAGUAUCUGAUAUAUAUUCCACUUAGCCAUGUAUAUAACUUUUUUAUGUGUUGCUAGAUUCACUUUACUAAUAUUUUGUUGAGGACUUUUGCCUCUAAGUGUUUGUGAGAUAUUGAUCUAUAGUUCUCAUUUUUUGUAUAGUCUUUGCUAGUUUCAGUAUCAGGAUAACUGGCCUCAUAAAAUGAGUUAGAAAGUGUUCCCACUUGUUCUAACUUUUGGAAGAGAUUGUAUAAAAUUGCCAUAAAUUUCUCCUUAACUGUUUUAGUAGAAAUUUCCGGUGAAACCAUGUGGGCCUGGGGAUUUCUUUCUUGGGUAUUUCCUUCCUUCUACUUUGUUUGUAUAUAUUUAGCUCUUUUUUUUUUGGUUUCUUGAAUUAGAUCUUAGAUUAUUGAUUUGAGACUUUUCCUGCUUUCUAAUAUAAGUAUUUCAGGGUAUGAAUUCCCUCUCAGCACUACUGAACUAGGUGUACAUAUUUUAUCGAGUAAAAGUUUUGAUACAAAAAAAAAGGAGGGAAACACACUAAUUCCCCAUGAGUAGGGCUAUAGAUUUACGCUAUGAUUUACUUACAACAGUUAAACUACCCAGACUUUGUGUAUCAACAUGGACAAAAUUCUAAAUAACAGUGUUGAAUGGAAACCAGCAAACU